rnacentral:rRNA from 1 species
UACGUAGGGGGCUAGCGUUGUCCGGAAUCAUUGGGCGUAAAGCGCGUGUAGGCGGCCCGGUAAGUCCGCUGUGAAAGUCGGGGGCUCAACCCUCGGAUGCCGGUGGAUACUGUCGGGCUCGAGUACGGAAGAGGCGAGUGGAAUUCCUGGUGUAGCGGUGAAAUGCGCAGAUAUCAGGAGGAACACCAAUGCGAAGGCAGCUCGCUGGGACGUUACUGACGCUGAGACGCGAAGCGUGGGAGCAAACAGG